rnacentral:rRNA from 1 species
UGUACCUACGGGGCGCAGCAGUGGGGAAUAUUGCACAAUGGGGGGAACCCUGAUGCAGCGACGCCGCGUGGGUGAAGAAGUCAUUCGUGACGUAAAGCCCUGUCAGCAGGGAAGAAAAUGACGGUACCUGAAGAAGAAGCCCCGGCUAACUACGUGCCAGCAGCCGCGGUAAUACGUAGGGGGCAAGCGUUAUCCGGAUUUACUGGGUGUAAAGGGGGCGCAGACGGCGAUGCAAGCCAGGAGUGAAAGCCCGGGGCCCAACCCCGGGACUGCUCUUGGAACUGCGUGGCUAGAGUGCAGGAGGG